GGUCGUGUGACGGCUGUUGUGACCGUUUCCACGGCAACCACAAGCAGCUGUCAAUCACGUGUUUCAGUCUGCAGUGAACGUUAAACAACAUGACUGAAGACGUGGAUUGUCUGCAGUGCUCUGGUUUGUAGUUCCACAGGCAGCUUUUCUCUUCUCUGUUGUACAUCCAUCAAUGUUUCUGUUAUCUUACAGUCGCUCCUUCAAAUCCUCACAGAGAGGAGCUGUGGAUCGCACCCCUCGCCCCUUAAACCAGACCAUUGUGACCUCCUCCUGGACGCUAUGGAUGCUCAGCUUGAUCAGUUGCAGGUGCCAUCUAAGAAGUGUGAGCUGAGUUUUAGAGCUGAUUGUUGUAACGAUGCAGGUGAGGUGACAGUAUGUUGAUAAAACAAAGCUAAUGCUCCUUUUAGAAUUUGAUUUUGAUUCUUUUUUAAUCAAUUUUUAAGCAAUUUUUUUUAU
rnacentral:lncRNA from 1 species